UACGUAGGGAGCAAGCGUUGUCCGGAAUCACUGGGCGUAAAGCGCACGUAGGCGGAUUGCUAAGUCAGGGGUGAAAUCCUGGAGCUCAACUCCAGAACUGCCUUUGAUACUGGCGAUCUCGAGUCCGGGAGAGGUGAGUGGAACUGCGAGUGUAGAGGUGAAAUUCGUAGAUAUUCGCAAGAACACCAGUGGCGAAGGCGGCUCACUGGUCCAUUACUGACGCUGAGGUGCGAAAGCGUGGGGAGCAAACAGG
rnacentral:rRNA from 1 species